rnacentral:rRNA from 1 species
AUUGAACGCUGGCGGCAGGCCUAACACAUGCAAGUCGAACGAGUGGCGGACGGGUGAGUAACGUCUGGGAAACUUCCCGAUGGAGGGGGAUAACCAGUGGAAACGGUAGCUAAUACCGCAUACUAUCGGAUGUGCCCAGAUGGGAUUAUCUGGUUGGUGGGGUAAAGGCUCACCGAGGCGACGACCCCUAGCUGGUCUGAGAGGAUGACCACCCAAACUGGAACUGAGACACGGUCCAGACUCCUACGGGAGGCAGCAGUGGGGAAUAUUGCACAAUGGGGGCAAGCCUAAUGCAGCAAUGCCGCGUGUAUGAAGAAGGCCUUCGGGUUGUAAAGUACUUUCAGCGGGGAGGCGUUACCCGCAGAAGAAGCACCGGCUAACUCCGUGCCAGCAGCCGCGGUAAUAC